UACUCCUACGGGAGGCAGCAGUGGGGAAUAUUGCACAAUGGAGGAAACUCUGAUGCAGCAACGCCGCGUGAGUGAUGAAGGUCUUCGGAUCGUAAAACUCUGUCUUAUGGGACGAUAAUGACGGUACCAUAGGAGGAAGCCACGGCUAACUACGUGCCAGCAGCCGCGGUAAUACGUAGGUGGCAAGCGUUGUCCGGAUUUACUGGGCGUAAAGGAUGUGUAGGCGGAUAUUUAAGUCAGAUGUGAAAUCCCCGGGCUCAACCCGGGGCCUGCAUUUCAAACUGGAUGUCUAGAGUGCAGGAGAGGAAAGCAGAAUUCCCAGUGUAGCGGUGAAAUGCGUAGAGAUUAGGAAGAAUACCGGUGGCGAAGGCGGCUUUCUGGACUGUAACUGACGCUGAGGCAUGAAAGCAUGGGGAGCAAACAGGAUUAGAUACCCUGGUAGUC
rnacentral:rRNA from 1 species